rnacentral:lncRNA from 1 species
ACCAAAGUGAACAGGCUGUGAGAAAGCUACUGAAGGAUCGAGAGCAUGUCCUGCUGAAGAUCAGUUUGAGCGAGAAGCAGUGGAAACCGGUCAAAGCCGAGUUUGACCAGGUGUCUGCUGUACACUCAGACACCAAAGCUGAGCUGGACCGUUUAGAGCGCCAAACCUUUCUGGAGGAGCUGAAGAACAGGGGAAGAGGACACCUGCCCCAUUCAAAUCUAAAGAUUAGUUUUUUAGCAAGAAAGAGAUAGACAAAAUGAAGUCCCUGAUAAUGACUGAAAUGACCACCUUAGAUAUUCUCAAGGGUUAUAGGGAUGCAGAGGCAGCUGAAUUUCAUCGUGAACAAACAGACUGCAAGAGGGUGAAAGGUGAGCUGCAGAAAAAGUAUGAAGACGCUAUGUCUACAAUUACUCAGCUGGAGACUGAGGUGGAGCAACUGAGACAGACAUACGCAGAAAAAUCUGAGGGGUUUGUCAAACACUAUGGCGUUCAAACAUGGGACAGCCACAGUAGUGAUGGGUAA